AUGGAGAUUUUUGGUGAGGCUGCACCGUACCUGCGCAAAUCAGAGAAGGAGAGAAUAGAAGCCCAGAACCAGCCAUUUGAUGCCAAGACCUACUGCUUUGUGGCUGACCCCGAGGUGGAGUACACCAAAGGGAAGAUCAAGGCUGCACAGGAUGGGAAGAUAACUGUUGAGACAGAGGACGGCAGGACGGUUGAUGUCAAACCUGAUGAUGUAUAUGCCAUGAACCCACCUAAGUUUGACAGAAUUGAGGAUGUGGCCAUGUUGACCCACCUUCAUGAACCUGCUGUCCUUUACAACCUCAAGGACCGCUACACCUCCUGGAUGAUCUAUACCUACUCGGGUCUCUUCUGCGUCACUGUCAACCCCUACAAGUGGCUGCCGGUGUACAACCCGGAGGUGGUGUUGGCCUACCGAGGCAAGAAGCGCCAGGAGGCGCCUCCGCACAUCUUCUCCAUCUCUGACAACGCCUAUCAGUUCAUGCUGACUGAUCGUGAAAAUCAGUCUAUCCUAAUCACUGGAGAAUCUGGUGCAGGGAAGACUGUGAACACGAAACGUGUCAUCCAGUACUUUGCAACAAUUGCAGCGAGUGGGGACCUAGCCAAGAAGAAGGAGUCCUGGAUGAAGGGUACGCUCGAGGAUCAAAUCAUCAGCACUAACCCGCUGCUGGAGGCCUUCGGGAAUGCCAAGACUGUGAGAAAUGACAACUCCUCACGCUUUGGUAAAUUCGUUCGUAUUCAUUUUGGUACCUCUGGAAAACUGGCCUCUGGUGACAUUGAGACCUACUUGCUGGAAAAGUCAAGAGUCACCUUCCAGCUGAAAGCUGAGAGAAGCUACCACAUCUUCUACCAGAUCCUCUCUAAUAAGAAACCUGAACUGCUUGAGAUGCUCCUCAUCACAACCAACCCAUACGACUACCCCUUCAUCAGCCAAGGGGAGAUUUCUGUGGCCAGCAUUGAUGACCAGGAGGAGCUUGUUGCCACAGAUGCAGCCAUCGACAUUUUGGGCUUCAGCCCUGAUGAGAGAAUGGGGAUUUACAAACUGACAGGGGCAAUCCUGCACUACGGGAACAUGAAAUUCAAGCAGAAAUCACGUGAGGAGCAGGCAGAGCCAGAUGGCACAGAAGAGGCUGACAAAGCAGCAUACCUGAUGGGCCUGAACUCAGCAGACUUGCUGAAAGCUUUGUGCUAUCCCCGGGUGAAAGUGGGAAAUGAAUAUGUCACGAAGGGCCAAACAGUGGAUCAGGUGCAUCAGGCAGUGAAUGCCAUUUCCAAGUCAGUCUAUGAAAAACUCUUCUUGUGGAUGGUGAUGCGCAUCAACCAACAACUGGAUACUAAGCUGCCAAGACAGCACUUUAUUGGGGUCUUAGACAUUGCUGGCUUUGAGAUUUUUGAGCUCAACAGCUUUGAGCAGCUGUGCAUCAACUUCACCAAUGAGAAACUGCAACAGUUCUUCAACCACCACAUGUUUGUGCUGGAGCAGGAGGAGUACAAGAAGGAAGGAAUUGAAUGGGAGUUCAUUGACUUUGGGAUGGACCUGGCUGCCUGCAUUGAGCUUAUAGAAAAGCCUAUGGGCAUCUUCUCUAUCCUGGAGGAGGAGUGCAUGUUCCCCAAGGCAACUGACACCUCUUUCAAGAACAAGCUCUACGACCAGCAUCUGGGCAAGUCCAGUAACUUCGAGAAGCCCAAGCCUGCCAAAGGCAAGGUUGAGGCCCACUUCUCCCUGGUGCACUACGCUGGUACAGUGGACUACAACAUCUCUGGCUGGCUUGAGAAGAACAAAGACCCCCUGAAUGAAACUGUUGUGUGGCUGUAUCAGAAAUCAUCUAUGAAAAUUUUAUGCAAUCUUUAUGCCACCUUUGCUUCCAUAGAAGAAGCUGAAGGUGGUGGUAUUAAGAAGAAAGGAACCAAGAAAAAGGGCUCUUCAUUCCAAACUGUCUCUGUACUCUUUCGGGAAAAUCUAAAUAAGCUGAUGUCCAACUUGCGAACAACUCAUCCUCAUUUUGUGCGUUGUAUCAUUCCCAAUGAAACAAAGACCCCAGGCCUGAUGGAUCACAAGCUUGUUCUCCACCAGCUGAGAUGUAAUGGUGUUCUGGAAGGCAUUCGAAUCUGCAGAAAAGGAUUUCCUAACAAGAUACUAUAUGGGGAUUUUAAACAAAGAUACCGCCUUCUGAAUGCUGGUGUCAUUCCAGAAAAAGAGUUUAUUGAUAGCAAGAAGGCAUGUGAAAAGCUGCUGUCUUCCAUUGAAAUAGAUCAUACUCAGUACAAAUUUGGACACACUAAAGUGUUCUUCAAAGCAGGUUUGCUAGGUGUCCUGGAAGAGAUGCGAGAUGAUUGCUUAGGACAACUGAUCACGCAGACACAGGCUUUAUGCAGGGGAUACCUCAGGAGACUUGAAUUGAAAAGAAUGUUAGACCGAAGGGAGUCCGUCUUCUGCAUUCAGUUCAACAUCCGUGCAUUCAUGAACGUCAAGCACUGGCCCUGGAUGAAGUUAUACUUCAAGAUGAAACCCCUCUUAAAAAGUGUGGAAACUGAGAAAGAAAUGGCCAUGAUGAAGGAAGAGUUUGAGAGAACGAAAGAAGAACUGGCUAAAUCAGAAACUAAGAGGAAAGAACUGGAAGAAAGAAUGGUGACUCUGGUGCAAGAGAAAAAGGACCUGCAGCUGCAAGUACAGACUGAAAAUGAAAAUUUGGCUGAUGCUGAAGAAAGGUGUGACCAGCUGAUCAAAGCAAAAUUCCAGCUGGAAGCAAGAAUAAAGGAGGUAAUGGAAAAACAGGAGGAUGAAGGGGAGGUAAAUGCUGAUCUGGCAGCCAGAAAGAGGAAACUAGAGAAUGAAUGCUCUGAGCUGAAGAAAGAUAUUGAUGACCUUGAGUUAACACUGGCCAAGGCUGAAAAGGAAAAGCAUGCCACAGAAAACAAGGUUAAAAAUCUAACUGAAGAAAUGACAGGUUUGGAUGAAAGUAUUGUGAAGUUAGACAAGGAGACGAAGGCCCUGCAAGAAGCCCAUCAGCAGGCACUGGAUGACCUGCAAAUUGAGGAGGACAAAGUUAAUACCCUCAUCAAAGCCAGGAUCAAGCUGGAGCAACAAGUGAACCAUGUUGAAGGAUCUUUAGAACAGGAAAGAAAAUUUUGUAUGGAUCUUGAACGAGCAAAGAGAAAGCUUGAGGGAGACUUGAAACUUGCCCAGGAAACCAUAGUGGAUCUGGAGAAUGAUAAACAACACUUAGAUGAAAAAUUAAGGAAGUAUGAGAAAAAAAAUUAGUGACAAAUUUACUGUUUGUUUUUAACUGGACAUAUUUUUUUAUUAAAAUGACAUUUCAUUCACAGGAAAGACUUUGAAUUUAACCAAAUGGAAAAUAAAAUUGAGGAACAGCAGAAUUCAGUUAUUCAGCUGCAGAAGAAGAUGAGAGAAUUGCAGGCCCGUGUUGCAGAGCUGGAAGAGGAGACCAUGAGUGAGAAAGCAAUGCGGGCAAAAGCAGAGAAUCAUAGUGAUAAGCUGGCUAAUGAACUUAAGGAAAUCAGUGAAAGACUUGAAGAGGCUGGAGGAGCCACCACCGCUCAAACUGAACUUAUCAAGAAGCGUGAGGCAGAGUUUCAGAAGAUGCGCCGUGACCUCGAAGAGGCCACGCUGCAGCAUGAAGCCACGGCUGCCACCCUGCGGAAGAAGCACGCAGACAGCACAGCUGAGCUUGGGGAGCAGAUCGACAACCUUCAAAGAGUGAAGCAGAAGCUGGAGAAGGAGAAGAGUGAGCUGAAGAUGGAGAUUGAUGACUUGGCUAAUAGUACAGAGACCAUUACUAAGUCCAAGGCUAAUCUGGAAAAAAUGUAUCGUACCCUGGAAGACCAGAUGAGAGAUAUGAAAGCCAAAUUUGAGGAGAACCAAAGAAAUAUGAAUGAGAUGGUGAUACAAAAAGCCCAGCUCCAGACAGAGUCUGGUGAACUAAGCCGUCAACUUGAAGAGAAAGAAACCAUAGCAUUGCAACUGUCCAGAAGCAAGCAGGCAAUUAUACAGCAAAUAGAAGAACUUAAAAGGCAGCUAGAGGAAGAGAUCAAGGCGAAGAAUGCCCUGGCCCACACCUUGCAAUCUGCUCGCCACGACUGUGACUUGCUCCGGGAACAAUAUGAGGAGGAGCAGGAAGCCAAGGGGGAGCUGCAGCGUGCCCUGUCCAAGGCCAACAGCGAAGUGGCCCAGUGGAGAACCAAAUAUGAGAUGGAUGCUAUUCAGCGCACGGAGGAGCUGGAGGAGGCCAAGAAAAAACUCUCUCAGCGUCUCCAGGAAGCAGGGCAGCAGGCGGAGACUGUAAAUUCAGAGUGCGCCUCCUUGGAGAAGAUGAAGUUGAAGUUGCACGGGGAGGUGGAGGAUCUGACAGUGGACAUAGAGAGAGCAAACACAUUGGCAGCUGCCCUUGACAAGAAACAGCAGAACUUUGAUAAGGUCGUGGCAGAAUGGAAGGGAAAGUAUGAGGAGAGCCAGCUGGAGCGGGAAGCUCUCUCUAAAGAAUCAUGCUUGCUGAACACAGAGCUUUUCAAAGUGAAAAAUGCCUAUGAGGAAACUUUAGAUCAGCUUGAAACAAUCAAACGGGAAAACAAGACUCUCAAGCAGGAAAUAGCUGAUAUGACUGAACGAAUUACUGAAAAUGGCAAAAUGAUCAGAGACCUUGAGAAAGCCAAAAAGCAAGCUGAAGUAGAAGAAUCUGAGCUGCGGUUAGCUCUGGAAGAGGCAGAGGCAGCUCUUGAGCAAGAAGAGGUCAAAAUCCUUGGAGUCAACCGAGAACUGGCUCAGAUUAAAUCAGAAAUCAACAGAAAGAUUGCUGAGAAAGAUGAGGAGAUCAGCCAGUUAAAAAAGAACCAUCAAAGAACUGUGGAGACAAUGCAGGGUGUUUUGGAUGCUGAGAUCAGGAGCAGAAGUGAAUCCUUAAGGCUGAAAAAGAAGAUGGAGGGAGACCUGAAUGAAAUGGAGGUCCAGCUGAGCCAUGCCAACCGCCAGGCUGCCGAGGCACAGAAACACCUGCACAGCAUCCAGGGAGUUCUCAAGGACAUGCAGCUGCACCUGGACGAUGCUCUCAGGACACGGGAGGACCUGAAGGAGCAGGUGGCCAUGGUGGAGCGCAGAGCCAACCUGCUGCAGGCUGAAAUUGAGGAACUACGGGCAGCCCUGGAGCAGACGGAGCGGUCGAGGAAAGUGGCUGAGCAGGAGCUUCUGGAUGCCACUGAACGUGUGCAGCUCCUCCAUACCCAGAACACCAGCCUUUUUAAUACGAAGAAGAAGCUUGAAACUGAUGUGGCACAAAUCCAAACUGAGAUGGAAGAUAUUACUGAUAAAGCAAAAAAUGCUGAAGAAAGAGCAAAGAAGGCAAUCACAGAUGCAGCCGUGAUGGCAGAAGAGCUGAAGAAACAGCAGGACACCAGCGCCCACCUGGAGAGGAUGAAGAAGAACCUGGACCAGACGGUGAAGGACCUGCAGCACCGUCUGGAUGAGGCUGAGCAGUUGGCGCUGAAGGGAGGAAAGAAACAGCUCUUAAAGACGGAGGCCAGGAUCCGAGAGUUAGAAGCUGAGCUGGAAGAAGAACAUAAACAAUCAGCAGAGGCUAUGAAAAACAUCCGCAAAUAUGAACGGCGUGUCAAAGAGCUUACUUUCCAGAAUGAAGAACACAGGAAGAACAUGAUGGGGUUACAAGAUAUGGUAGAUAAACUGCAGAUGAAAAUCAAAUCCUACAAAAGACAAGCUGAGGAAGCUGAUGAACAAGCCAAUACUAAUCUCUCCAAAUUCAGAAAAACACAGCAUAAGCUAGAAGAGGCUGAGGAAAGGGCAGAUAUUGCUGAGAGUCAAGUAAACAAGCUCAGAGCUAAAACCCGAGAAGUCCCUUCCUCAAAGGUGGUGUUAGGAAGUGAAAAAUGA